AGCUCCAAUAGCGUAUAUUAAAGUUGUUGCAGUUAGAACGCUCGUAGUCGGAUUUCGGGGCGGGCCGACCGGUCUGCCGAUGGGUACGCACUGGUCGGCGCGUCCUUCCUUCCGGAGACCGUGCCUACUCUUAACUGAGCGGGGGCGGGAGACGGAUCGUUUACUUUGAAAAAAUCAGAGUGUUUCAAGCAGGCAGCUCGCUCUUGCAUGGAUUAGCAUGGGAUAAUGAAAUAGGACUUUGGUGCUAUUUUGUUGGUUUCGAACACCGAAGUAAUGAUUAACAGGGACAGUCAGGGGCACUCGUAUUCCGCCGAGAGAGGUGAAAUUCUCAGACCAGCGGAAGACGAACUACUGCGAAAGCAUUUGCCAGGGAUGUUUUCACUA
rnacentral:rRNA from 1 species